GGAGUCGAAUAUAUUCAAAUGUAUUCAAAUUAAUUAUGUCCUGGCUAUUCUGAAAGAAUACGUCAUGGCAUUCCAGGUAUAUUGAAAUACUGUUUCACAACUAUGUUGUAUCGUAAAGCUUGGAUAGUUUUAUUGUAUGUUACCAGUGUAACUGGCUGUGUCUUACUCUGCUUGUAUGGUGGAAAUUCAUAUCCAUCUCUCACUUGCACAAUAUUACUACUUCCUCAGAGUCGUGACACCCUUGUGCACAAGUUGCAUGACAAGCAGCUGCAGGUUUUCACCAACUUCCUUGCAUGCUUUGUGAAGCCAGAAAACCUGCCACCAAUCCCCAGGAUCCUAGCAGGUCUCGAACUCAAGGGAGACAAACUGCUGCCUGCAAGAGACCUGUAUGUGUGUCGAGUGGCAGAUAGAUUCAGACGGGAGCAUCCUCAACACCAUCUGCUGAAGCCCUUCCUGGACCAAGGCAUACAUCACAUGUGGGGAAUACCUGCAGAGCAAGCUGCCACAGGAGAGCAUGACCCUGCAGUGCCCGUCUGCUGUUGACCCUAUUGCAAGGGGGCACUCCAAGACUGGACGUCUGCUGAGACGACUUGCGGAGAUGUUUACCCAGUUUCUCCCUGCUGAUGGGGAUGUUCAGCAAGAGGUUCUCCAGUAUGGCGUAGACCAGAGCCUGCAAACUUUCAGAGAAGGAGAUGAUGCUGUCAGCUGGUGGGCAGCUGUCUUUGAAACGGGAAGGUACCCAGGGCUCAGCAUGGCAGUAAAGGCAGCAUUGUCGGUGUUCCAUGGGCCAACGGUGGAGUCCUCAUUCAGUCUUAUGUCUGAAAUCAUAGACUCGAAAAGUGGCAGCAUGAACAUUUCCACUCUGAGUGCCAUGCAAACUGUCGAACACACCUUGCUGACCCGGAAGCAGACUGCAGUGGAGAUCUUCAAAAGAGAAGACCUUAAGUUAAUAAAGUAUGCUGAGUUUUGUUAAGUCACGCUCAGACUAGUGUCAUUUGCAUAUUAUAAUCCAAAAAAAAUCCCCCCGUGACACUGCCACCUUUUUUCCUCUGAGGAGUUUGCAGGUCUGCAGAAGGGCCCCCGUGUACACCCGGAAAUUGUUGACAUAGCCUGUCUUGCUCUCCGCCAUCACCCACACCUUUCCUCCCCACUUCACCGGCUUCAUGGGGAGGUACUGCCGGAAGGCCAGGCAUCCCUUGAACUUGACCAUGGACUCAUCUACGGUCACAAAGCCAUUGACCUCAUAGAGAUCCUGGAAUCUGACGAGGAGGUCCAUGAAUCCCUUAAGCUUCAAGGGAUCCCGCAUUUCCAUUACUUUGUACACGUCCCGCAAAUUGAGACGUUGUCCCGCAUUGUUAUUAGGGCUGGCCCGAAUUAUUCGAAUAUUCAAAUACUCGUUGGGAAAAUUAGUAUUCAAAGCUUAAAUGAGUAUUCGGAGCUUCGUUGUUUCACGUAGGGCCUA